UACGGAGGGGACUAGCGUUGUUCGGAAUUACUGGCGUAAAGCGCACGUAGGCGGAUUUGUAAGUCAGGGGUGAAAUCCCGGGGCUCAACCUCGGAACUGCCUUUGAUACUGCAAAUCUCGAGUCCGGAAGAGGUGAGUGGAAUUCCUAGUGUAGAGGUGAAAUUCGUAGAUAUUAGGAAGAACACCAGUGGCGAAGGCGGCUCACUGGUCCGGUACUGACGCUGAGGUGCGAAAGCGUGGGGAGCAAACAGG
rnacentral:rRNA from 1 species